rnacentral:rRNA from 1 species
UACGUAGGGACCAAGCGUUGUUCGGAUUUACUGGGCGUAAAGGGCGCGUAGGCGGCAUGACAAGUCACUUGUGAAAUCUCCGGGCUUAACUCGGAACGGCCAAGUGAAACUGUCAAGCUAGAGUGCAGAAGGGGCAAUCGGAAUUCUUGGUGUAGCGGUGAAAUGCGUAGAUAUCAGGAGGAACACCAAUGGCGAAGGCAGCACUCUGGGACGUGACUGACGCUGAGACGCGAAAGCGUGGGGAGCAAACAGG